UCCUAGGCUAACUAGCACCCAGGCUAACUGA
rnacentral:piRNA from 1 species